UACGUAGGAGGCGAGCGUUGUCCGGAUUUACUGGGCGUAAAGCGCGCGCAGGCGGCACUUCAAGUAAGGUGUGAAAUCUCCCUGCUCAACGGGGAGGGUGCACUUUAGACUGGGGAGCUAGAGGACGGUAGAGGGGGGUGGAAUUGCUGGUGUAGCGGUGAAAUGCGUAGAGAUCAGCAGGAACACCCGUGGCGAAGGCGGCCCCCUGGGCCGUACCUGACGCUGAGGCGCGAAGGCUAGGGGAGCGAACGGG
rnacentral:rRNA from 2 species